AAGCUAAUGAUGGAAAAAUCAUUGUUGGAAAGGAAUGACAUGAACAAAGGAACCACUGAAGUAC
rnacentral:snoRNA from 1 species